GAGCGGCGCUGCGGGGGCUGACAUGUCGUCCCGGCCUGGGCGCGAGGACGCGGGGGCUGCGGGCGCGCGGCGGCCGCGUGAGCCUCCGGAGCAGGAGCUGCAGCGACGUCGGGAGCAGAAGCGGCGGCGACACGACGCGCAGCAGCUGCAGCAGCUCAAGCACCUGGAGUCCUUUUAUGAAAAACCUCCUCCUGGGCUUAUCAAGGUUAGUGUGAAGUUUGUACUCUUGGUUAUUCCACAAGACAUACUUGUAGACUCAGUAACUUGUUAUGAAAAAUAAUUGCAUGAUGUUAAAUCUCCUUUUACCAAAAGCCUGUUUCUUUUCCUGCAGAUGAAUGAGGGGUCAUAAUUUUUAGUUUUGUCACAAGCCUCUGCCUUUGCAGAAAUGUCAUCAGCCAUGUUUCCCUUCCCCGAAGAACCAGUGCAGGCCCACGUGGAUUCCUUGGCCAUGCCCCUCUUCUCUCUUCCUGGGGAUGGCAUCUCUAAGCUCCUUUUCCUUGUUGGCCUCACCCGGCUCAGCCCCUCGGUCCAUCCUCUGCUGGUUUCUUGAGCUCAGCAGCUCAGAGAGCAGUAAACUCUGAGGAGAUCUGACAGCUAUCCAGUCCCGCUCCCUGGUACAGGCAUCCCUCCUGCAGCUCCCUGGCCAAGGUGCCAGGGUGUGUGUGCACGAGGGAGACUUAGAGUGGCAGGCCACGGCAAAGAAAACUUGCUGUUUCAUAACUCUCAGCGAAGAAAUAUUCUUUAAAAACGUGAGUCUAUUGUAAAUUUAAUAUUCAUAGAAACUUGAAAAAAAUCCAAAAGUUUGAAAACACAUUAAUUGUAAAUGCAGUUAUUGAGUGGUAAAAAUGCACAUCAGAGAUAUAGCAUGUGUGUGACUGUAAAACAUGACAGGGCCUUCAGGGUAUAAUAAACUAUUCUAGCAUAACAGGCCAUUUCUAUUAUUCCA
rnacentral:lncRNA from 1 species